UCCAAUUUCUAAGUUUAUCUUUUAUAGUUUUUUAAUACGACAUUUCGCUCCUUUCUUCCAUCUCUUCAUAUAACAGAUCCUAACGUUAUAACGACAAACCGUACAAAAUCUUAUCAUAUAUAUGUAAUUAUGUAUAUAUAAAUAUCAAAUCAGGAGUCUACCCGCCAAUUUCUUCAUAAAAAUGUCUACCGCAGAGUUCGUUCAUCAAAUCUCCUUUUUUCGCUCUCAAAUUAAUAACAGAAGAUUUGAUGACGGAACCAUUCAAAUUCUCCAAUCGUUGCUCGUCUGUAAGGACGUGAAAUCGUUAAUUGAAGUGCGAUCGUGUUUGAGAGAGUUUCUAAGAUCUGAGUCGAUCUCUAUUAUUCGCGAAAUUGCGGAGAAAACUCUUGAGCAGAAGCUUUUGAUUCUCGAGUUCUUCGUUCGUGCUUUUGCUGUUAUAGGCGAUAUCGAGAGUUGUUUGGCUCUAAGAUAUGAGGCCUUGCUUAUGCGUGAUCUCAAGUGUACAAGUUGCAGUUGGCUUCAAGUUUCAUAUACGGAAUGGCUGAACUUAGCUGAGCAUUCACUAGAGAAUGGCUUUCAUGCUAUUGCUAUAAAGGCGUGUGAAAAUGCACAAUCAUGUCUCCAGAGAAUGAUUUGUGGAUCUAAACACAGAUGAAAUGUUUGAGUAUGUGCAAGCUACUGAAAAAACGAAGAGACUCAAAGAUUGUGCCGUGACAUCGGUAGCUUCACUUUCUGUUCAGGCACGGGCAACAGAGUACUUGAAAAAGAA